UACGGGGGGGGCGAGCGUUAUUCGGAAUUAUUGGGCGUAAAGGGCGCGUAGGCGGCCUGGUGUGUCAAAGGUGAAAUCCCUCGGCUCAACUGAGGAAUUGCCUUUGAAACUACCAGGCUUGAGGCCGGGAGGGGGUAGCGGAAUUCCCAGUGUAGCGGUGAAAUGCGUAGAUAUUGGGAGGAACACCAGUGGCGAAGGCGGCUACCUGGACCGGUUCUGACGCUGAUGCGCGAAAGCGUGGGGAGCAAACAGGAUUAGAAACCCCCGUAGUCC
rnacentral:rRNA from 1 species